GGAGAGAUGACCGAGCGGCCGAAGGUGCACGAUUGGAAAUCGUGUGUGCUCGAAAGGCACCGAGGGUUCGAAUCCCUCUCUCUCCG
rnacentral:tRNA from 1 species